CUGAUUUUCUUUAUUUUUCUUCUAGGUAAAUUAUACGGAAUGCCGAAACAAUUAUCUAUAGGGAUUCGAAAACGUAGAUCUUUCACAGAUUGCUCGUUGCCUUAAAAUGAACAAAAACAGGGAUCAGCUUGCUACCUAACAGACACUUACUCAAGGACACUGGAUUACACAUAUCAAAUGCGCACCUAUCCAGGACUCCCAAGUUUGGACAUGCAUCAUUUAUAUUGCCUUAGACGGACGGACAGACUCGUCGCUACCGAUCUACUGAUGUAAACACAGCCUAAUAAACCGUGACUUACGAAUCUUCCAAUCGGAAACAACCUCACCACCUUCCCAACCCCAUCCUACCCCCGUCAGGGCGGAUACCUUGCCCAACAGCGCGACUUACGAUAAAUCUAAUGCCGUGACUAAGGUGUCCGACCCUACAGACGUAGGACAGCGUAAGGAGAAGCAAACAAAAA